UCCAAAUAGUGCUGAAGAACAUCGGGAAUGAAAGAUUCAACCAACAUCACCGCAAUACCAUACACAGAUUUGUCAAUACUUUGGGAAGGAAGUGUUGUUGCUGUUCAUAUGACAAUCCAUUCUUGCUUGCUGAAGCCCACCGUUUUAGCGCUUGCAACCUGUGAAAGUCGCAAACA